UACGGGGGGGGCAAGCGUUGUUCGGAAUUACUGGGCGUAAAGGGCGCGUAGGCGGUUCGCUAAGUUGAAUGUGAAAACUCUGGGCUUAACCCAGAGCCUGCAUUCAAUACUGGCGGGCUAGAGUUCUGGAGGGGAUAGCGGAACUCCUGGUGUAGCGGUGAAAUGCGUAGAUAUCAGGAGGAACACCGGUGGCGAAGGCGGCUAUCUGGACAGAGUCUGACGCUGAGGCGCGAAAGCUAGGGGAGCAAACAGG
rnacentral:rRNA from 1 species